rnacentral:rRNA from 1 species
AUUGAACGCUGGCGGCGUGCCUAACACAUGCAAGUCGAGCGGUAACAGGUGUAGCAAUACAUGCUGACGAGCGGCGAACGGGUGAGUAAUGCUUCGGAAUCUACCCAAUGGUGGGGAAUAACCAGCCGAAAGGUUGGCCAAUACCGCAUACGUCCCACGGGAGAAAGCAGGGAUCGCAAGACCUUGCGCCAAUGGAUGAGCCGAAGUCGGAUUAGCUAGUUGGAGGGUAACGGCCUACCAAGGCGACGAUCCGUAGCUGGUCUGAGAGGACGGACCAGCCACACUGGGACUGAGACACGGG